rnacentral:sRNA from 18 species
CUGCAUUGGAAGAGGUGGACGAGGCAGAAGAAAAGCGACUGCAGAUUGAAGCAAUGCUGGAGGAGGCAAAAAAAGCAAAUGCAAACAAAAC